GCCUCAGCUCGCUGGUAUCUCGCGGAGCAGCUCCUGUGCCCUUCUGUGCUCGCCGGUCGUGCGUCCGGCUCCCCGUCUUCCCCUCCCUGUCACAGCGCCGCGCCGCACUCCUUUCCUUCAUUCCCAUACCACUCUGAACUUGUGCGCGUCGUGUGAGGUGUUCUCCCAGGGGCGCUCCGUGAGGGCCGGGGACCACCUGGGGCCGGGUUGCUCACGAGCCGGGCACAGUGCACUCUCCCUUUAGUUGUGUUUGGGGGACGAGUAUCGCGGGGGAGGGGAGGGAGUCACCAUGCCCGCCGGAAACCCCCCGCUGAGUCGUCCGCCCUGCACCUGCCUCGGAGCCCAUGGUUCGGACGUUUGCCCGAGCCGUUUCCCGGGGCCUUCCCUCCAGCUCCGAGCGUCUGGCCGUGUCCGCGGCGAUAGCAUCGCCCCGUUACGGCCUCUGCGGGAGGGGGAACUGAGGGGACGACGCGGGCUCUGGAAACAUUUCGGACCCGUUUCGGGCAGGCAUGAGUCUUCCGAGCGCCUUGUGAUUCCUCGGGGGGCUCAACGUCGAAAGAAAGGCGAGGGAGACUCUGGGGCCUGGGCCACGCUGUGCGGGAGUAAGAGGAGCCGAGGACGAGGCUGACGGCCGUGAAACUAGCCGAGUGCCACAAAGGACCUUCCCCUCACCGCCUCUGGCGCUCCUUUCCUUGCAGCCUGGAGGGCCGGCUCUGGCUCUGCGCAGGCGCGCGGGCGCAGCCCCUCUCCCAACUCUUGUUUGCUCUUUCUGGCCAGCGACCCCAGUGUGGGGCACGCGGGAGAGCCCCACAUUU
rnacentral:lncRNA from 1 species